rnacentral:lncRNA from 1 species
AAAAUCAUGAAGAUUUAAAAAUAAAUAAAGAGCGUAAGAUCCAUUUACCUCAAUCAUCUUAGAUUUUUAAUCUUUCUUAAAUGAAUCAGAUAACCCUAUUAAAAUAUUAAAUCACGAUCAAAUUUUAUUCCAUAUAUUCAAUAAAAUUACAUAAUAAAAGAAGAUAACUGACUGGAUGACCAGUCCGAUAAAUUCCCCCCUCCGGCUCUGAAUCGAUUCGGAGUCAUAGGUCCCUAGAGGAGAAAAAGAUGGCAUGAUACUAGAUCUAUAGAUCUUUUUAGAGAGAGAAAAGAGGAGAGAGAAAAUUUUAGAAAGAAAAAUAUAGAGAGAAAGUCCAAUUCUAGAGAGAGAAAGUAAUGGUUUAGAUCGAAGAGAGAGAGAGAGUCACUCUUCUUUUUUUUUCUUUUCUUUUUCUUUUUCUUCCUUCUUUCCGUGGCCUUCUUUGGCAAAACUGGGGACCAAACGGUUCCCUCCCUUUGACCGACCAUCCAGGGCUGCAGCUGGCACGGUGGUGGCCAGUGGCAGGAGGUGUCGAUGGAGCGGCCCAGAGGAACCCAAAGCUGGCGGUUGGCGGUGACCACCGGUGUUGAAAAACUAAAAAAAAAGGGACGGAACAGGGGCUGUCUUCCUAGGCAAAAUUCGAUGACUUCGGUCACCGACGACCGUGCACACUGGCAAGGGAAGGAAGGGAGAGAAGAGAGGAAGAGAGAUUACAGCUUACCUCAAACUCCAAUGACAUCUCCGGCGACAAUUAGGGGCGAGCACAGUGACGGCUUUCACGAGCAAAAUUCCAGCGAUCCCCGCCGUUGGCUCCCGAUUUCUUGUUGGGAGAGGGAGGGAAGAGAUCUCCUCCUUAAAUAGAGCCAAAGAGGAAGGAGUUUGACUCCUCCCCGAGAUUUUUCCGACUCCGAUUAGGAGCCAGUCGGAGGGAAGAAGACUCCCGUGGGGAGUGUCCUUCAAAUUUUUUUUUUUUUGGGCCUGAUCUAAGGCCCAAAUGAGCCGGAUAUUACACAAUAGGUCAUCGUCAACGCAUAACUGGUAAACAAAAGAUUCUGGCCCACAUGCAUGAAAGGAAGAAUAUGAAAGAGAAAGCAGUCAUUUUUUUUCCUUUGCCUUGGUGAAAUGAUCUUGAAAGGUCGAUGACAAUGACCGUGCGUGAGAAAAACUGAACCAUAUAGACCCACUGGAUUUAAACUCCUACUAAUCUGACGUGAAAUUUUUAGUUGAG